UACAGAGGUCUCAAGCGUUGUUCGGAUUCAUUGGGCGUAAAGGGUGCGUAGGUGGCGCUGUAAGUCGGGUGUGAAAUUUCGGAGCUUAACUCCGAAACUGCAUUCGAUACUGCGGUGCUUGAGGACUGGAGAGGAGACUGGAAUUCAUGGUGUAGCAGUGAGAUGCGUAGAGAUCAUGAGGAAGACCAGUGGCGAAGGCGGGUCUCUGGACAGUUCCUGACACUGAGGCACGAAGGCCAGGGGAGCAAACGGG
rnacentral:rRNA from 1 species